rnacentral:rRNA from 1 species
UACGUAGGGUGCGAGCGUUAAUCGGAAUUACUGGGCGUAAAGCGUGCGCAGGCGGUUCGUUGUGUCUGAUGUGAAAGCCCCGGGCUCAACCUGGGAAUGGCAUUGGAAACUGGCGAGCUAGAGUGUGGCAGAGGGGGGUGGAAUUCCGCGUGUAGCAGUGAAAUGCGUGGAGAUGCGGAGGAACACCGAUGGCGAAGGCAGCCCCCUGGGCUGACACUGACGCUCAGGCACGAAAGCGUGGGGAGCAAACAGG